UACGUAGGGUGCAAGCGUUGUCCGGAAUUAUUUGGGCGUAAAGAGCUCGUAGGCGGUUUGUUGCGUCGGCUGUGAAAUCCCGAGGCUCAACCUCGGGUCUGCAGUCGAUACGAGCAAACUAGAGUGUUGCAGGGGGAGACUGGAAUUCCUGGUGUAGCGGUGAAAUGCGCAGAUAUCAGGAGGAACACCGGUGGCGAAGGC
rnacentral:rRNA from 1 species